rnacentral:rRNA from 1 species
UACAGGGGGUGCAAACGUCGCUCGGAAUCAUUGGGCGUAAAGCGCACGUAGGCGGUUCGUUAUGUCGGGUGUGAAAGCCCUUGGCUUAACCGAGGAAGUGCAUCCGAAACUGGCGAGCUAGAGUACGAAAGAGGAUCGCGGAAUUCCCGGUGUAGAGGUGAAAUUCGUAGAUAUCGGGAGGAACACCGGUGGCGAAGGCGGCGAUCUGGGUCGAUACUGACGCUGAGGUGCGAAAGCGUGGGGAGCAAACAGG